rnacentral:rRNA from 1 species
CAGUAGCCGCGGUAAUACGUAGGUCCCGAGCGUUGUCCGGAUUUAUUGGGCGUAAAGCGAGCGCAGGCGGUUAGAUAAGUCUGAAGUGAAAGGCAGUGGCUCAACCAUUGUAGGCUUUGGAAACUGUUUAACUUGAGUGCAGAAGGGGAGAGUGGAAUUCCAUGUGUAGCGGUGAAAUGCGUAGAUAUAUGGAGGAACACCGGUGGCGAAAGCGGCUCUCUGGUCUGUAACUGACGCUGAGGCUCGAAAGCGUGGGGAGCGAACAGGAUUAGAUACCCCAGUAGUCCCUGUCUCUUAUACU